AGAAGAAAAGUUGACCGUGAAUCAGCCUUACCUACUGUUCAUUUCAAUAAAGGGAAAUUUGUUGCACUCAAAACCGAAUGCUAUUAACAUGCUGUAGAAUGACAGGAGGGAGCAUGUCGCAUUGUACCAAUGUUAACGAUCUGCCGGCAAGAGCUUCACGGAAAAGCCACUUAUACGCUUUCCUUACUACAUCGGGAGUAAUCGCUCAACAACAGAGGAUCAAAGGCGGUGUCGUUUGGUCUAAAAUAGGUUCAUAAUUAGUAAAAUCGUGUGAUUAUUUGCUUAAUUUUUGAAUAAAAUUCAUUAAAUUUUAUUAAA